rnacentral:rRNA from 1 species
UACAUUGUGAACCUGGCUUCGGCCCAAACUUUUUUAGUAAAGAAGUACCUACAAACAAAAACAACUUUCAACAACGGAUCUCUAGGCUCUCGCAUCGAUGAAGAACGCAGAGAAUUGCGAUAAGUAAUGUGAAUUUCAGAACCGUGAAUCAUCGAAUCUUUGAACGCACCUUGCGCCCUCUGGUAUUCCGGAGGGCAUGCCUGUUUGAGUGUCAUAAAUACCUCACCCUCUGGGUUUCCAGGGACGUGGACUUGGGUGCUGCCAUUUGUGGCUCGCCUUAAACGCAUCAGUGACAGCGGUGUAAUACGUUUCACCAAACGCACUAUAAUUCCCUCGGGAUGCAUUAUGCACUUUUAUCAUGACCUCAAAUCAGGUAGGGCUACCCGCUGAACUUAAGCAUAUCAA